rnacentral:rRNA from 1 species
ACGCUGGCGGCGUGCCUAAUACAUGCAAGUAGAACGCUGAAGAGAGGAGCUUGCUCUUCUUGGAUGAGUUGCGAACGGGUGAGUAACGCGUAGGUAACCUGCCUUGUAGCGGGGGAUAACUAUUGGAAACGAUAGCUAAUACCGCAUAACAAUAGGUGACACAUGUCAUUUAUUUGAAAGGGGCAAUUGCUCCACUACAAGAUGGACCUGCGUUGUAUUAGCUAGUUGGUGGGGUAACGGCUCACCAAGGCGACGAUACAUAGCCGACCUGAGAGGGUGAUCGGCCAUACUGGGACUGAGACACGGCCCAGACUCCUACGGGAGGCAGCAGUAGGGAAUCUUCGGCAAUGGACGGAAGUCUGACCGAGCAACGCCGCGUGAGUGAAGAAGGUUUUCGGAUCGUAAAGCUCUGUUGUAAGAGAAGAACGGGUGUGAGAGUGGAAAGUUCACACUGUGACGGUAUCUUACCAGAAAGGGACGGCUAACUACGUGCCAGCAGCCGCGGUAAUACGUAGGUCCCGAGCGUUGUCCGGAUUUAUUGGGCGUAAAGCGAGCGCAGGCGGUUAGAUAAGUCUGAAGUUAAAGGCUGUGGCUUAACCAUAGUACGCUUUGGAAACUGUUUAACUUGAGUGCAAGAGGGGAGAGUGGAAUUCCAUGUGUAGCGGUGAAAUGCGUAGAUAUAUGGAGGAACACCGGUGGCGAAAGCGGCUCUCUGGCUUGUAACUGACGCUGAGGCUCGAAAGCGUGGGGAGCAAACAGGAUUAGAUACCCUGGUAGUCCACGCCGUAAACGAUGAGUGCUAGGUGUUGGAUCCUUUCCGGGAUUCAGUGCCGCAGCUAACGCAUUAAGCACUCCGCCUGGGGAGUACGACCGCAAGGUUGAAACUCAAAGGAAUUGACGGGGGCCCGCA